AUUGAACGCUGGCGGCAUGCCUUACACAUGCAAGUCGAACGGUAGCAUGAUCUAGCUUGCUAGAUUGAUGGCGAGUGGCGAACGGGUGAGUAAUACAUCGGAACGUGCCCUGUAGUGGGGGAUAACUAGUCGAAAGAUUAGCUAAUACCGCAUACGACCUGAGGGUGAAAGUGGGGGACCGCAAGGCCUCAUGCUAUAGGAGCGGCCGAUGUCUGAUUAGCUAGUUGGUGAGGUAAAGGCUCACCAAGGCGACGAUCAGCAGCUGGUCUGAGAGGACGAUCAGCCACACUGGGACUGAGACACGGCCCAGACUCCUACGGGAGGCAGCAGUGGGGAAUUUUGGACAAUGGGGGCAACCCUGAUCCAGCAAUGCCGCGUGUGUGAAGGAGGCCUUCGGGUUGUAAAGCACUUUUGUCCGGAAAGAAAUCGCACUUACUAAUAUUAGGUGUGGAUGACGGUACCGGAAGAAUAAGGACCGGCUAACCACGUGCCAGCCGCCGCCGUAAAAC
rnacentral:rRNA from 1 species